AAUAGUUCUCAGGGCGGGGUGAAAUUCCCCACCGGCGGUAACGGGGCGCGCUCCCGAAAGCCCGCGAGCGGCCCCGUCAGAUACCGGGGUGUCAGCAGAUCUGGUGUCAUUCCAGAGCCGACGGUCAUAGUCCGGAUGGAAGAGAGCGGCA
rnacentral:ncRNA from 1 species